rnacentral:pre_miRNA from 1 species
CUUAUACUCCCUCCGUCUGGAAACACUUGUCGCUCAAACGGAUGUAUCUAGCAUUGAAAUAGUGCUAGGUACAUUCGUUUGGGCGACAAGCAUUUACGGACGGAGGUAGUAUUAG